rnacentral:rRNA from 1 species
GAUGAACGCUAGCGGGAGGCCUAACACAUGCAAGCCGAGCGGUAUUGUUUCUUCGGAAAUGAGAGAGCGGCGUACGGGUGCGUAACACGUGUGCAACCUGCCUUUAUCUGGGGGAUAGCCUUUCGAAAGGAAGAUUAAAACUCCAUAAUAUAUUGAACGGCAUCGUUUAAUAUUGAAAGCUCCGGCGGAUAGAGAUGGGCACGCGCAAGAUUAGCUAGUUGGUGAGGUAACGGCUCACCAAGGCGAUGAUCUUUAGGGGGCCUGAGAGGGUGAUCCCCCACACUGGUACUGAGACACGGACCAGACUCCUACGGGAGGCAGCAGUGAGGAAUAUUGGUCAAUGGGUGCAAGCCUGAACCAGCCAUCCCGCGUGAAGGACGACUGCCCUAUGGGUUGUAAACUUCUUUUGUAUAGGGAUAAACCUACCCUCGUGAGGGUAGCUGAAGGUACUAUACGAAUAAGCACCGGCUAACUCCGUG